ACCCUGUAGAAUCGAAUUUGUGU
rnacentral:ncRNA from 7 species